UACGGGGGGUGCGAGCGUUGUCCGGAAUCACUGGGCGUAAAGGGCGCGUAGGUGGUUUGAUAAGGGUGUGGUGAAAGUCCGGGGCUCAACCCCGGAUCUGCCGUGCCGACUGUCAAACUCGAGGGCUGUAGAGGCAGACGGAAUUCCGGGUGUAGCGGUGGAAUGCGUAGAGAUCCGGAGGAAGACCGGUGGCGAAGGCGGUCUGCUGGGCAGUUUCUGACACUAAGGCGCGACAGCGUGGGGAGCAAACAGG
rnacentral:rRNA from 1 species